GCCCACAUAGCUCAGUAGGUAGAGCACAUCCUUGGUAAGGAUGAGGUCACCGGUUCGAUCCCGGUUGUGGGCU
rnacentral:tRNA from 1 species